GGUGGGGUGGCUGAGCGGCUGAAGGCGAUGGUUUCGAAAACCAUUAGGGUUGCAAGACCCUCGUGAGUUCGAAUCUCACCCCCACCG
rnacentral:tRNA from 1 species